CUACGGGCUGCACCAGUGAGGAAUAUUGCACAAUGGGGGGAACCCUGAUGCAGCAACGCCGCGUGGAGGAUGACGCAUUUCGGUGUGUAAACUCCUUUUAUAUGUCAAGAAAAUGACGGUAGCAUAUGAAUAAGCACCGGCUAACUCCGUGCCAGCAGCCGCGGUAAUACGGAGGGUGCAAGCGUUACUCGGAAUCACUGGGCGGAAAGGACGCGUAGGCGGGUUGGAAAGUCAGGUGUGAAAUCCUACAGCUUAACUGUAGAACUGCACUUGAAACUUCUAAUCUAGAGUAUGGGAGGGGGAGAUGGAAUUAGCGGUGUAGGGGUAAAAUCCGUAGAUAUCACUAGGAAUACCUAAAGCGAAGGCGAUCUCCUGGAACAUUACUGACGCUAAGGCGUGAAAGCGUGGGGAGCAAACAGGAUUAGAUACCCUCGUAGUC
rnacentral:rRNA from 1 species